UGGCUCGAGUGGCGAACGGGUGAGUAACACGUGAGUAACCUGCCCUUGACUUUGGGAUAACUUCAGGAAACUGGGGCUAAUACCGGAUAGGAGCUCCUGCUGCAUGGUGGGGGUUGGAAAGUUUCGGCGGUUGGGGAUGGACUCGCGGCUUAUCAGCUUGUUGGUGGGGUAGUGGCUUACCAAGGCUUUGACGGGUAGCCGGCCUGAGAGGGUGACCGGCCACAUUGGACUGAGAUACGGCCCAG
rnacentral:rRNA from 1 species